GCCCGAGUGGCGGAAUGGCAGACGCGACGGACUCAAAAUCCGUUGUCCGAAAGGGCGUGUGGGUUCGAGUCCCACCUCGGGCACCC
rnacentral:tRNA from 1 species